AUACUUACCUGGCAGGGGAGAUACCGUGAUCACGAAGGUGGUUUUCCCAGGGUGGGGCUUAUCCGUUGCACUCCGGAUGUGCUUAGCCCUGUGAUUUCCCCAAAUGUGGGAAAGUCGACUGCAUAAUUCGUGGUAGUGGGGGACCGCGUUCGCGCUUAAA